rnacentral:lncRNA from 1 species
AACUUUUCUUCUAAUUUUUUUUUAUUUAAUAUUUUUUUAUUUUAUAAAAUUCACGCGUGCUUAUAAUUUUUUAGCCGUGGGAUCGCCUCAACAUCUGUACAGUACUUCAAAAACUUAAAAGAAAUACACCAUUAAUAAUAUUGUACAGAUAUCGAGGCGAUAUCAAGUUAAAAAGCUACAAACAUAAAUGCGUCCGCUGCUAUCGAGUUUUCGGCCGUUUAAUAAAAAAAUGUACGAUUAUGAUGAUAAUAACCUCUUAGUGUUGAAUGGAUGGCUGGUUAAAUAAUAUAAUUUAAUGAAUAAAAAUGAUCAAAAAACUAUAUCUAACAGUAAAAAACUUAAGUGCACCAAGCUGAACUAACUAUUCUGUGGGACUAGAAAAAAAAAAAAAUAAACAACUUACUCGGAAAAGUGCGGAAAACUAUUUUUCCAGAAAAAGUACUAUUUUCCACACUUUUUGUUUUCUAAAUAAAAAACUCUGUUAAAUAUAAAAUUAUAUAAACACACCGUUCUCUAACGGCUUAAGCUUUUAGAAUACAACGGUUGUUUCACAUGAUAUCAGAGUAGGAGGUCCUGAGUUCGAAUAACGUCAGGCUCCUAACAUAUUAAUUUUCUUCCAUUUAAUUCAAGCCCACGUCAUGAGCCAACUAAAAAGUCUCGAGCCCGGACGUGAGGGGGAGUGUUAAAUAUAAAAUUAUAUAAAGACACCGUUCUCUAACAGCUUAAGCUUUUAGA